GGCGGCAGGCCUAACACAUGCAAGUCGAGCGGUAGCACAAGAGAGCUUGCUCUCUGGGUGACGAGCGGCGGACGGGUGAGUAAUGUCUGGGAAACUGCCUGAUGGCGGGGGAUAACUAGUGGAAACGGUAGCUAAUACCGCAUAACGUCGCAAGACCAAAGUGGGGGACCUUCGGGCCUCACGCCAUCAGAUGUGCCCAGGUAGGAUUAGCUGGUAGGUGGGGUAACGGCUCACCUAGGCGACGAUCCCUAGCUGGUCUGAGAGGAUGACCAGCCACACUGGAACUGAGACACGGUCCAGACUCCUACGGGAGGCAGCAGUGGGGAAUAUUGCACAAUGGGCGCAAGCCUGAUGCAGCCAUGCCGCGUGUGUGAAGAAGGCCUUCGGGUUGUAAAGCACUUCAGCGAGGAGA
rnacentral:rRNA from 1 species